UUUAGAAGCAAUAGUGCCCUGAGCACACCAGAUGCUGUUUGAUUUGGAAGCUAAGUAGGGUCAGGACAAGGUUGUGCUUGGAUGGGAGACAACCAGUUAACUCCCACAG
rnacentral:rRNA from 1 species